AUUGAACGCUGGCGGCAGGCCUAACACAUGCAAGUCGAACGAGUGGCGGACGGGUGAGUAAUGUCUGGGAAACUGCCCGAUGGAGGGGGAUAACUACUGGAAACGGUAGAUAAUAGCGCAUACCAUCGGAUGUGCCCAGAUGGGAUUAGCUAGUAGGUGGGGUAAAGGCUAACCUAGGCGACGAUGCCUAGCGGGUCUGAGAGGAUGACCAGCCACACUGGAACUGAGACACGGUCCAGACGCCUACGGGAGGCAGCAGUGGGGAAUAUUGGACAAUGGGCGAAAGCCUGAUGGAGCAAUGCCGCGUGAAUGAAGAAGGUCUUCGGGUUGUAAAGUACUUUCAGCGGGGAGGCGUUACCCACAGAAGAAGCACCGGCUAACUCCGUGCCAGCAGCCGCGGUAAUUC
rnacentral:rRNA from 1 species